AGAGUUUGAUCAUGGCUCAGAUUGAACGCUGGCGGCAGGCCUAACACAUGCAAGUCGAGCGGUAGCACAGAGAGCUUGCUCUCGGGUGACGAGCGGCGGACGGGUGAGUAAUGUCUGGGAAACUGCCUGAUGGAGGGGGAUAACUACUGGAAACGGUAGCUAAUACCGCAUAACGUCGCAAGACCAAAGUGGGGGACCUUCGGGCCUCAUGCCAUCAGAUGUGCCCAGAUGGGAUUAGCUAGUAGGUGGGGUAACGGCUCACCUAGGCGACGAUCCCUAGCUGGUCUGAGAGGAUGACCAGCCACACUGGAACUGAGACACGGUCCAGACUCCUACGGGAGGCAGCAGUGGGGAAUAUUGCACAAUGGGCGCAAGCCUGAUGCAGCCAUGCCGCGUGUGUGAAGAAGGCCUUCGGGUUGUAAAGCACUUUCAGCGGGGAGGAAGGCGUUAAGGUUAAUAACCUUGGCGAUUGACGUUACCCGCAGAAGAAGCACCGGCUAACUCCGUGCCAGCAGCCGCGGUAAUACGGAGGGUGCAAGCGUUAAUCGGAAUUACUGGGCGUAAAGCGCACGCAGGCGGUCUGUCAAGUCGGAUGUGAAAUCCCCGGGCUCAACCUGGGAACUGCAUUCGAAACUGGCAGGCUAGAGUCUUGUAGAGGGGGGUAGAAUUCCAGGUGUAGCGGUGAAAUGCGUAGAGAUCUGGAGGAAUACCGGUGGCGAAGGCGGCCCCCUGGACAAAGACUGACGCUCAGGUGCGAAAGCGUGGGGAGCAAACAGGAUUAGAUACCCUGGUAGUCCACGCCGUAAACGAUGUCGAUUUGGAGGUUGUGCCCUUGAGGCGUGGCUUCCGGAGCUAACGCGUUAAAUCGACCGCCUGGGGAGUACGGCCGCAAGGUUAAAACUCAAAUGAAUUGACGGGGGCCCGCACAAGCGGUGGAGCAUGUGGUUUAAUUCGAUGCAACGCGAAGAACCUUACCUGGUCUUGACAUCCACAGAACUUUGCAGAGAUGGUUUGGUGCCUUCGGGAACUGUGAGACAGGUGCUGCAUGGCUGUCGUCAGCUCGUGUUGUGAAAUGUUGGGUUAAGUCCCGCAACGAGCGCAACCCUUAUCCUUUGUUGCCAGCGGUCCGGCCGGGAACUCAAAGGAGACUGCCAGUGAUAAACUGGAGGAAGGUGGGGAUGACGUCAAGUCAUCAUGGCCCUUACGACCAGGGCUACACACGUGCUACAAUGGCAUAUACAAAGAGAAGCGACCUCGCGAGAGCAAGCGGACCUCAUAAAGUAUGUCGUAGUCCGGAUUGGAGUCUGCAACUCGACUCCAUGAAGUCGGAAUCGCUAGUAAUCGUAGAUCAGAAUGCUACGGUGAAUACGUUCCCGGGCCUUGUACACACCGCCCGUCACACCAUGGGAGUGGGUUGCAAAAGAAGUAGGUAGCUUAACCUUCGGGAGGGCGCUUACCACUUUGUGAUUCAUGACUGGGGUGAAGUCGUAACAAGGUAACCGUAGGGGAACCUGCGGUUGGAUCACCU
rnacentral:rRNA from 2 species